rnacentral:rRNA from 1 species
GUGGCAGCCGCCGCGGUAAUACGGAGGGUGCAAGCGUUAUCCGGAUUCAUUGGGUUUAAAGGGUGCGCAGGCGGAUUAUUAAGUCAGUGGUGAAAUCCUCCCGCUUAACGGGAGAACUGCCAUUGAUACUGAUAAUCUGGAAUACGGUUGAAGUGGGCGGAAUGUAGCAUGUAGCGGUGAAAUGCAUAGAGAUGCUACAGAGCACCGAUCGCGAAGGCAGCUCACUAAGCCGAUAUUGACGCUCAGGCACGAAAGCGCGGGGAGCGAACAGGAUUAGAUACCCUGGUAGUCCACGCCGUAAACGAUGAUAACUCGUUGUUGGCGACACACAGCCAGCGACUAAGCGAAAGCGAUAAGUUAUCCGACCUGGGGAGUACGAUCGCAAGGUUGAAACUCAAAGGAAUGACGG